rnacentral:misc_RNA from 1 species
GAUGAAGAACGCAGCGAAAUGCGAUAAGUAAUGUGAAUUGCAGAAUUCCGUGAAUCAUCGAGUCUUUGAACGCACAUUGCGCCCCCUGGUAUUCCGGGGGGCAUGCCUGUCCGAGCGUCAUUGCUGCCCUCAAGCACGGCUUGUGUGUUGGGCCGUCGUCCCCCUCCUAGGGGACGGGCCCGAAAGGCAGCGGCGGCACCGCGUCCGGUCCUCGAGCGUAUGGGGCUUCGUCACCCGCUCCGUAGGCCCGGCCGGCGCUUGCCGACGACCAUCAAUCUCUUUCUCCAGGUUGACCUCGGAUCAGGUAGGGAUACCCGCUGAACUUAAGCAUAUCAAUAAGCGGAGGA